ensembl:lncRNA
GUGUGGGGGGAGGUGAUAGGUCUCUCACCGUAGGGCUCUUCAGACAUGGUGGUGUGGGGGGGGAGGUGAUAGGUCUCUCACCGUAGGGCUCUUCAGACAUGGUGGUGGUGGGGGGGGGGUGAUAGGUCUCUCACCGUAGGGCUCUUCAGACAUGGUGGUGUGGGGGGGGUGAUAGGUCUCUCACCGUAGGGCUCUUCAGACAUGGUGGUGGUGGGGGGGGGGAGGUGAUAGGUCUCUCACCGUAGGGCUCUUCAGACAUGGUGGUGGUG